rnacentral:rRNA from 1 species
UCCAGACUCCUACGGGAGGCAGCAGUGGGGAAUAUUGCACAAUGGGGGAAACCCUGAUGCAGCGACGCCGCGUGAGUGAAGAAGUAUUUCGGUAUGUAAAGCUCUAUCAGCAGGAAAGAAAAUGACGGUACCUGACUAAGAAGCCCCGGCUAACUACGUGCCAGCAGCCGCGGUAAUACGUAGGGGGCAAGCGUUAUCCGGAUUUACUGGGUGUAAAGGGAGCGUAGACGGUGAAGCAAGUCUGAAGUGAAAGGCGGGGGCUCAACCCCCGGACUGCUUUGGAAACUGUUUGACUGGAGUGCAGGAGAGGUAAGUGGAAUUCCUAGUGUAGCGGUG